UCGGGGAGGAACUUCCGGUGAGGCCGAACGUGGGCGCCAACGCUAACGGAAAUCUCAACGGAAGCCAUCCGAAAGAUCACCCGCACCACCAAAACAAUCAUAACGUAUGGACCGACACGACGCACGACAAGCACGAGCACGAAGAUCUGAUCAUGCACCACCAUUCGGAGCGAUCGGAUUCGGGAGUCACUUCACCGAACAGCCACCAUCAUCUGUCGGAUUCGGAUCAUCGGACCAGUGGAGUUCCGUCGCCGUGUUGCGAUCUGUCCCUUCUGGAUCAGAUCCCGACCGAUGACGUUCGGAAGCGUAUCAUUCUGAUGAGCAAACGGUCGUGCUACGACGAGGACGACAAGAUGUGUCUGCUACAGGUGCUCUCGUUGCUCAACAAUCUAGAGGCGCUCUCGCAGGAUCACGAGAUUGCGGCCGACGAAAUGAGCCUGGAGAUGAAUGUGAAAUACAUUUACCCAUUUUCGGACAACAACCAAUCAAAAUCUAUAACAUCAACAUCGGCACCAUCGAUGCUCGCAACAUCAACACCCUUUAAAAAUGUCCAACCGAGCAGUGGAAAAAUGGUGGCUACAGUACAACCAUUCAAUAACAACGGACCAGCAUCACUAACAACGUCGACAGUCAGCAAUACCAGUCAAAGCAAUGGAACUGCAAGCGAAUCACCAAAGAGCUUCUCGAUCGCAUCGAUCGCCGAACAGUUUGGAGGCAUGAAGAAAUCUUCCAAGUGGGGCUCGACCAGUUUACAGGAAAGCGGUGUGUUUGUGGAUGAAAUUGUUGGAAGUGGAGUUGUCACGAGUUGCUGCGGAACUCAGACCGAGGUGGAGGACUUCCCUUGUUUGGAAAGGACGAAUGCUGAAUUGUGUGCCGAGAUUGAGAAGUUAAAUCGCUUUCGACAGAAGAUUGAGGAAUGCUCGAGUAGGAGAAAGAGUCCUGGGAAGAGCCCGGUUGGGCUGAGUUUAUCUUUACCUGCGGAGUCUUGCGAGAAACGGAGGUUGCAAUUUUACGAAGACCGGCUGGAGCAAUUGGAGAACAAGCUGAAGGUGUAUGAGAGUAGUGGAGACAAGCAGUUGCGACACUUGGCGGAGAGAUUACAGCGAGAAAUUCAACUAGAAGGAUGGGUGACGCAGCUGAGUGAGAAGCUCGAUAAGAUGGAAGACGAGAACGAGAGACUGGAAGAAGAGAGAUGUGAGCUGGAGGAAAUUGAAAACGAUACGCGGUUGAGGUUGCAGCGAAUGGAGGUGGAUUUUGAAGUCAUGAGCCAGAGGAAUACGGAGCUGGAGAUGAGCAAGUGUUCGUAUCAGACAAAGUACCAAGAUGCCAGGGAUAGUAUAGUAAGUUUGGAGGAGCUGGUACACAAGUGUGAAGAGAGGAUAUUUGUGCUAGAAGAAACCGAGAACGAGCUAAAUGAUCGGAUAGAUCUAGUCUUGGCGUUUAUUCCGCUUUUGUUAAUGUUUAACAGUUGGCAGAUUCACGAGCAGUUGGCAAGCAGACGAAAGCAGAUCGCUCUUAACUACAUACCACCUGAACAUAUCGAGUACUAUGAAUCAACAAACGAUGAUCUGCAAAUGAGACUGAACGAGUUGAUGAAUCGAGAAAAGGAACUCACCCAGAACAUUGCUGAACUGAAUCGAGCGUAUAACGAGACGCUGGAGAAUGCCGAUAAUCUGUGGGCGCAAAUGGAAAAAGAGUACAAAGAUAAAAUCAACAAGUGCGAGACUGUGGAGGCAAAUCUGAAGUCAAAGAUCGCACAGCUGGAAGAGCGUCUUAGCAAGGACAGCGAAUACGCUCAUGAGCGAAUCGCUCAUUUGGAAGAAGCAGAGAGCAAUCUCAAGAGCCGAGUGUCGAAGCUGAACAAAGAGAACAAAGAACUUCUCGCUAAGCAUGCUGCACUGCUUGAAGAAUACAGUACCUUGAAGGAGGAGUACAGGAAGUUGCAGAACUACUUAAGAGGUCCAGCAGCCGAGAAUCUGGAAAAGGAGAAACGCAAAAUCCUAACGCUGGAGGAAGAACUCAUCCACAGCACUCUGCAGCUGAAGGAAGUCGAAGAAUCACACAAAUCAGAAGUCGGUCAAAUGCGAGGAAAAUUGAUUGGCGUCACCAAAGAACUGAACCAUAUUGAGGUUACCAACAGUGAGCUUAGGGAGGAGGUUGAAACGCUCGAAUGUCGCAUCCGAGAACUGCUAACACUGCGAAAUUGUGACGAGGAACGCAUUAAGCAUCUCACCGAGGAGCUACACUUCAAACAAUCCCAGAUCAAUCAGCUGCAGCACUUUAACGGUGGUCACUCGAAAGGUCGCAGCCUGGCCCAAGAACUUGAACGACCCAUCAAGGGAUCCUACUCGAAGCUGGGCUACGAGAUUCAUCCGCUAACCCGAAGAUUCCCUGGGGAUAGCGAUAGCAGUGGAAGCGAGGAUAAAUCCCGUUUCCCGGUCACCAAAACCAUCACGGUCGGAGCGGCCGAAGCCAAAGAGGUCAAGAGUCUGGCCGAAACCAUCAUCCUGAAUGCGGAAAACCGCGGCGUCCGCGCACCAAAGAAGUCAUUUGUUGAAGAGGCCCGUAGCCGAUUUGCGCGUUGGGUGUAAAUAAGAAAACAAAAAUCCAUAAAUCACUCAAAUAUUUUACCAAAAAUCCAAAACAAACCAACCCUUGAAAAUAUCAAAAACAAAACAGAAAAAAAUUGAAAACAUUUUACACGAAAAAAAAACACCCACAUCAUCCAAUCGAUCGAUCCCGAUGUGAUCCGGUGGAAAGGAAUUUUCGGGGGCCAAUAACAUGGUUUUUUGCAUCCCAGUAGCCUUAAUCCUGGAUUUAAUCCAGCUUGUGUGGACCUCAUUCGUUGUCAUCAUCAUCAUCAUCAUAUUUAUACGCAUUUUUCUUGCCAUCUGGAUUCGGUUGAAUGGGCCUUCGUGUGAGUGUUAGCUUUUGAUAAGAGACGCAACCAGUUGUCCGAACUUUACAUACAGUUCAUGGUUGAAGAUUUCCAGAUGUGUCUAUACUAAUCGCCGACGAAGGAUAUCGUGAGAGUAAACCAAUCUAAGCCAUGUAUGAUGUAAAAUGACUAUCGUGAAAUGCGUAGACACUUGGCGAUCGGAACCGGAAAUGGAAAAGCAAAACCUCUAUUGAAAAUUGAAAAUCCCACCCAUCUAACCCCAAAUGAUGCGAGCGCAGGGUGGAUCGAAUUGAUGAGAAGAUUGUUAAGGAAUUGAAUCUAGUCGUUGAUUUUGUUGUUAGUACUAGUUGUGUUUAGCCAGAGCAGGAAAUUAGGGGAAAGAAAUCUUCACAGGCAUAUGAAAGGCUUUACACUCAAACGGUCCCAAAACUUUGGCAUCUUCAAUUGAGCUCAGCCGGUUUAGUUUUAGUAAGCAUAAACAGAAACUUAAUUGUUACACACUCCAAUUACCAAUUUUUGUACAGUUUUGUUUUUACAGAAGCACCUACCCACACAUAACAGUUGAUAAAACGUAAUUAUUUAAGCAAACUCCCCUCUACGUUAGAAUUCAAAACGACGAAAAAACGAACGAAAUCUCUUGCGAAACUUUGUUAAUACUCAGAUUUAUUUUUGUUUAAAAUAACAGAAAAAGUUUAAUUUCAUGAAAACUACCCAUUCAUCUGUUCAAUCAGUCAAGGAAAGGAAUUUGGAAUUUGUUACUAACAGAAACCACCCUAUUUGAUUUGAUUCGUUUCGCUGCAGUUUUAAUUCGUUCAGUUUUUUUUUUUCUGAGUUUUGUUACGAACUCGAUUAUUUAUUUUUAAGUUUUUUAGUUUUAUUGCCAAAACUGCCAAAAAGAUUAUACUCACCCAGCAACAGGACCCUUUCUCACGACACGAUGGCACUUGGUUUUCAUCAUUAUUUCCCAGUUUGCGAAUAAUUAUGUUAAGCUCUUUUGCACUGCACGUUACGCCCGUAAGUUGUAGGUUUUAGUAUCUUUAUUUUGUUUAGUUCGGUUUAAGCUCCAGUAAGUUGUGAUUAUUUUUAAACUGUCAACCGAAGAACGGGGAAAGUUUUCCCUUAAAGAAGUUUGACCAGUUGUUAGUACAAUUUUGUUCGUUUAAAACAACCAAGAAUUUUGAACAAUCUUCAGAAGAAUUACUUUCUUUACUUUGAUUAUGUUUUUCUUAUUUUCUGUACAAAUUCAGUCAAUUUUUUCUUCGUUCUAUCAUUAGUUUGAAAUUGCGAAUCGCUCAUAUCGACUCGAAAGAAAAACGUAACAAAAUACUUACGAAUCUAGUUGUUGUUUCUCUGUUAGAAAGUCAUUCAAUCAGUUAGAUUGAAGAAGAAAAACAUAAUUAUCCGAACCCAAAUCACUAAGAAGUGAAUCAAUGCAAUCAAACAUAAACCUAAAAUACUCCUCUACAAAGAUUGAGAUAACCUUGCAUGAAGGUGUUAUAUUUGUAUGAAGAUAUCUUGUAGCAAGUUACAUAACAAACAAACCCACACCAAUUGAAACAAAAUAACCUAAUCAGUGAGUUAGUGAGCUUCCAUGAGCUUAAAAAUCGGUACUAGAAGAAAUCCACCUCACAAGGCAAAUAAUUUAUUCUCAAUACGACCAAUGCUUUUUUACGAUGGAGAAUGUACCAUUCAAAACACCAGAAUAUCCUAUGGGACGGAUAAGAUUUGAAAACAUGAAAAACAUUGUUGUAUUGUGGAAGCACAUAACCUCCCCACGAAUUCCCUCAAAAAAGGAUAGCGAACAGGAAAAAUACAAACUGAAAUUUUUGAUUCAAAA